rnacentral:lncRNA from 1 species
CUUAUUAAUUCGGAGAGGGCAAGAUUACUGCAUGCCCCACCUUUGAUCAAAAUUUGAACUGCCCAUUCUUGGGUUUUCAAUUCAAUACCCCUUUGGUCUCAAGGCGCCCUUUGCGGGUUUUCACCUUAGCCUCUCCUUUUUAUUUUUCUUUUUUCUUUUCUUUUUUCAUUUUUUCUUUUUUCUUUUCGUUUUUUUUCAAGUGAAGUAUUUAUUGCCUGAAUCAAAAUUCUGAAGAUUAGGCAGGUUCUUGUCAUCCAUCUUGGUCAAUACUGACGCUCUCUUAGAUAAGGCCUUCCACAUAAGGUCCUUCCGGAUUUGGCAUCCACUUUUUUUGAAGUCUUUCUGUAUGGGAAUGAUUUUUCGAUACCAGUUGCUCCUCAUAGAAUUUUCUGGGGUGAACCUUUUGGUGAGCUCGCGUCUUUUAUUUUGGUGCUUUUGACCAAGACGGAUAACUUUGAAUCUUUCAUUUUCAAUCAAAUUUAACUGUUCAUAUCAAGCUUGGAUUUGCUUCAUCCAAAUUCAACUCUGACAAGAUUCGAAGGGUAGAAAUAUCAACUUUGAUGGGUAAAACUACCUCUAUUCCAUAUACUAGUGGGAAAUGAGUUGCCCCGGUAGAGGUAUUUUCUUUUAUUUGGUUUUUUUUUGUUUUUUUUUGCUUUUUAUUUUCUCGUUUUUUUUACUUUUUUUUUGCUUUUUUUGCCCCCACUGAACUGUUCAUUUUGAGGCGAUAUAGUGUUAAUCUUGAACAGACUGCAAACUUCUGAUGUCGUGCGGUUGUUCAAAUUCAAUGCAUUGUCUAAUAUGAUCCUUUUUGGCAUUCCAUAUUGACAUAUGAUUCUUCAAGAAAUUUGUUGAUUGUCAGCUUUGUGAUAUUGGCAUAUGAAGCAGCUUCCACCCGCCUAAUGAAGUAAUCGAUGACUACAAAGAUGACUCGAUGACCGCUAGAAGCUUUUGGCGAGAUUAGCCCAAUGACCUCCAUGCCC